ACUGGUUUCAGAUGAAAUGUUUCAAUAAGCUUCUUCCACAGACUGGACACCUUCCUAGUUUGGGCACAAUCCUUUCCCCUGGUAUAGCCCUUGUUCUAGCUCAGGUGACAGCUAGGAGAUUUCUCAUGACUGCAGCCCCCUUUGUUCUGUUCCAGCCCCUUAUGUAUCUUUUGCACAAGGUGGGAAUCCUUUGUCCCUCUCUGGGUUCCCACCCCUCCUUCUAAAUGGAAAAG